rnacentral:rRNA from 1 species
UAUCAGGUAGUAGUGGGUGUAGCGUACCUACUAGCCUACGACGGGUACGGGUUGUGAGAGCAAGAGCCCGGAGAUGGAUUCUGAGACACGAAUCCAGGCCCUACGGGGUGCAGCAGGCGCGAAAACUUUACAAUGCUGGAAACAGCGAUAAGGGGACCUCGAGUGCCAGGUUACAAAUCUGGCUGUCGUGAUGCCUAAAAAGCAUUGCAUAGCAAGGGCCGGGCAAGACCGGUGCCAGCCGCCGCGGUAACACCGGCGGCUCGAGUGGUAACCGUUAUUAUUGGGUCUAAAGGGUCUGUAGCCGGCCGGAUAAGUCUCUUGGGAAAUCUGGCAGCUUAACUGUCAGGCUUUCAGGAGAUACUGUCUGGCUCGAGGCCGGGAGAGGUGAGAGGUACUUCAGGGGUAGGGGUGAAAUCUUGUAAUCCUUGAAGGACCACCAGUGGCGAAGGCGUCUCACCAGAACGGACCUGACGGCAAGGGACGAAAGCUAGGGGCACGAACCGGAUUAGAUACCCGGGUAGUCCUAGCCGUAAACGAUACUCGCUAGGUGUCGGCAACGGUGCGACCGUUGUCGGUGCCGUAGGGAAGCCGUGAAGCGAGCCACCUGGGAAGUACGGCCGCAAGGCUGAAACUUAAAGGAAUUGGCGGGGGAGCAC